AUAUGCUUUUCCUUUCUUCUAUGGCUAAAUUACAAAAACCCCCCUUAUAAAUACUCCUCUUUUUUAUUUUAUUUUUUUACUUUCAAAAAUCUAUAUUUUUUCCUCUCAAUGUUGCAAGUUGUUGCAUUUAGUACCCCUCCAUUAGCAUUAUUUUUUAUAAUUUAUAUUAAAAUACCCUUCAAAAUAAUAAAAAUAUAUUAAAAAAAAAAUUUUCUUAUAAAAAAAGUAAGAGCGAUUUGAUUAUUCUGCCCAUUUUAUGAACGACGUACCCUUAUAAAAAUAUUUUUUAAAUUUUAAAAGACAAAAUAUGAUUUUUGAAAGUCACGGAGCAAAAGCGAGAAAACGAAUAUUUACAGCUCAAGAUUUUAUAUAAUUUAGCCUUUUUUAUUUUUUUAUUAUUAUUAAAUAGCAAUAUCCAAGGUGACUUGGGGUGUUUGUUCCUCAAAAAAAGGNUAAUUUUUUUUAAAAAAAUUAUUUUUCAAAUUUUAUAGUAAAUUAAUAUUUUUGUUUUUUAAAUUUCUUUAAGAAAAUAAAAAUGCUAGUUUUUUAUAAAAUUUGGAAAGAAGCUUUUUAAAAUUUUAUAUUUUUUUUAAACCAAACGGAUGAAAAAUUAGAGAUGAGAUUUUUCAGGAAAAUUUUUUAAGUCAGAUAGAAUUUUUAUUAUUCUGUUUAUUUCCGUACGUAAUAUUGCGUUAUAUAGAUUGCGAUGAAUCGAUUACGAUAUAUUUUCUGCGAUCUCCGAAGAAUGUAUAAGCAUAUCCUUACAUAUUUUUAUCCCAAUUCUAUUUUAUUUAAUAGCGUUGGAUAGACCUUGAUACUAAACUAAGUCUCUGUAACAUGUGGUGACCGGUGAGAUCAGAUUCAAUUCGGGAUUAUUAUAGACAAAAUAUGUAACACAUUAUGAGAAAGUAUGAUUUGA
rnacentral:lncRNA from 1 species